ACGUAGGGUGCGAGCGUUAAUCGGAAUUACUGGGCGUAAAGCGUGCGCAGGCGGCUUUGUAAGACAGAUGUGAAAUCCCCGGGCUCAACCUGGGAACUGCAUUUGUGACUGCAAGGCUAGAGUGCGUCAGAGGGAGGUGGAAUUCCGCGUGUAGCGGUGAAAUGCGUAGAUAUCGGGAGGAACACCGAUGGCGAAGGCAGCCCCCUGGGCCGAUACUGACGCUCAUGCACGAAAGCGUGGGGAGCAAACGG
rnacentral:rRNA from 1 species